rnacentral:ncRNA from 1 species
CAACCUCAACUCAUAUGGGACUACCCCCUGAAUUUAAGCAUAUUAAUUAGGGGAGGAAAAGAAACUAACAAGGAUUUUCUUUACCCAUAGAGGGUGCCAGGCCCGUAUAACGUUAAUGAUUACUAGAUGGUGUUUCCAAAGAGUCGUGUUGCUUGAUAGUGCAGCACUAAGUGGGUGGUAAACUCCAUCUAAAACUAAAUAUAACCAUGAGACCGAUAGUAAACAAGUACCGUGAGGGAAAGUUGAAAAGAACUCUGAAUAGAGAGUUAAAUAGUACGUGAAACUGCUUAGAGGUUAAGCCCGAUGAACCUGAAUAUCCAUUAUGGAAAAUUCAUCAUUAGAGUUUUAAUAUUUUAAUAAUAUUAUAAUAAUAGUGUGCAUUUUUUCCAUAUAAGGACAUUGUAAUCUAUUAACAUAAACCAAAUUUAUCAUAAAAUAUGACUUAUAGUUUAUUUAAAUUAUUUUGCUUGCAUUUUAACAUAGAAUAAAUGUCAUUAAUUUGAUAAAGUGUUGAUAGAUUUAUAUGAAUACAGUGCGUUAAUUUUUCGGAAUUAUAUAAUAGCAUGAUUAUCAUUGAUUUUCUGUGUUUAUUAUAUGCACUUGUAUGAUUAACAAUGCGAAAGAUUCAGGAUACCUUCGGGACCCGUCUUGAAACACGGACCAAGGAGUCUAACAUAUGUGCAAGUUAUUGGGAUAUAAACCUAAUAGCAUAAUUAACUUGACUAAUAAUGGGAUUAGUUUUUUAACUAUUUAUAGAUAAUUAACACAAUCCCGGGGCGUUCUAUAUAGUUAUGUAUAAUGAUAUUUAUAUUAUUUAUACCUCUAACUGGAACGUACCUUGAGCAUAUAUGCUGUGACCCGAAAGAUGGUGAACUAUACUUGAUCAGGUUGAAGUCAGGGGAAACCCUGAUGGAAGACCGAAACAGUUCUGACGUGCAAAUCGAUUGUCAGAAUUGAGUAUAGGGGCGAAAGACCAAUCGAACCAUCUAGUAGCUGGUUCCUUCCGAAGUUUCCCUCAGGAUAGCUGGUGCAUUUAAAUGUUAUAUAAAAUAAUCUUAUCUGGUAAAGCGAAUGAUUAGAGGCCUUAGGGUCGAAACGAUCUUAACCUAUUCUCAAACUUUAAAUGGGUAAGAACCUUAACUUC